UACCUUCUGCUCCCGAUGCCCCGGCUCGCCUUUCUGCACUAAUGAAAAAGAUAGAAUGCAAAGGAAUGUGUGUGCGUCUCGGUGCCAGAAAUGUGCCUCUGGGAUCGCCAAACAUCCUGCUGCUGACAGAGGUCAGUUCACAAUAACAUAUUCACUCCUUCACUGUAAAUAUAUCCUGUUGGUCAGCAGCAAGAGCUCUCCUCUUUCCUCCCUUUGAAUGUUUUUGGGGGCUGCGGGCUGGUCAGCGAAUAUUCUCAGUGCACAAUGGCUGGAGACGAGCUGGAAAUUCCCCUUGUUGGGUGUAGCGGGCGCUCGGAGGAAAGGACACACAAUCCGUCCAUUAGAUGCCAAGACUUUCCCCCAUCAUCCCCAGCCUGCCGACCCCGGCCGACCCCUGAGAGGAAGUGCGCUCCCAGCAGCCUGAUGAGUUCACCGUUGCAUAGAGCCGCCCUGUUCUCAUUGGCCUUACUGUUGACUGGUGGUCCGCCAUGCCACUGACCUGUUGCCCUCCGGCUGAUCAUUCCUUCAUGGAUAUCUUUCAUUGACGUGGUUGAGUUUAGGCGCCAAGUCUCUUCAGAAAGUACAACAACGCCUGGAGUUUACCUCUGCCAAGAGAUCUGCUCUGCUCGUCCGCGCAGCUGGUGAAAUAAAAUACAAAAGAAGAAGACAAAUCUAACCAGUGGUGGAUGGUGCAGUUACAUGUCACACAUAUGGCUACUCAGAAAUUCAAACAUACGCCACAAGAUCAGAAAUGAAUGGGGGUAGCACACAGAUACGCUACCUUAACAACACCAGCUUCCUUUUUUGACCUGCAUAUCUGGAACCACCACUGGACAUUCGUGGUACUCAGAGGAUGAACCCUUGACUGUUUCUCCAGUGCUUACACGAGGCUGGUGUUUGUAGUUUUGAGUUAAAUUCUCUCAUCUGUUUUUUGUUCCUGGAUUUUUCUAGGGAAUUGGCUGAACAAAUGUAUGUUCCCUUUCAGGACGAGUUGUAAUACCUUGGGUCCCUUCACUGCUAAACCAGUUCAAUCAUUAGGUCAAAAUAUGAAUGUGUCCGAUAACUUGAAUUUAUGACCAAUACCUGGGACCUCUCUGCAUCUCUGUCUCCUUCUAUCUCACCUUGAGUGAGUUGCGGCAACCUUCCGUCUGCACAGAUGUGAUUUUUUUCUUGUAGGUCAGGUCUGUCUUGGCACAUUUCCCACCCGAGUCGCUCCAUCUUUGCAGCAGUCCAUCACGCCUGUCGGAGCUUAGUGAUCCACAACUCUCCUCUUCUUCAAUUUAAAAAAAAAAAAGGCCCCAACAUACCUGGAGUCAGAUGUGA